GAUGAAGAACGUAGCGAAAUGCGAUACGUAGUGUGAAUUGCAGAAUUCAGUGAAUCAUCGAAUCUUUGAACGCACAUUGCGCCCGCCAGUAUUCUGGCGGGCAUGCCUGUCUGAGCGUCAUUUCAACCCUCAUGCCCCUAGGGCGUGGUGUUGGGGAUCGGCCAAAGCCCGCGAGGGACGGCCGGCCCCUAAAUCUAGUGGCGGACCCGUCGUGGCCUCCUCUGCGAAGUAGUGAUAUUCCGCAUCGGAGAGCGACGAGCCCCUGCCGUUAAACCCCCAACUUUCCAAGGUUGACCUCAGAUCAGGUAGGAAUACCCGCUGAACUUAAGCAUAUCAAUAAGCGGAGGA
rnacentral:misc_RNA from 1 species